GAAUAAUUGUCAUUAAUAGAAUAGUUGUCAUUGGUUCUCAAGCCAGAGUUUGUAUUACCUCCCGUCAGAAUCAAACGUAACCUGCUGCGAUUUAGUUGCGCCCGUACCAAAACGAGAACAGUUGAACGUAACUCAAUGAAUGAGCGAUGUAGACCGAAGACUUAGUUCAUGGUAGCCCAUAGAUUGAUAGAUGCUGCGACAAGGCUAAGGCCCGCCCGUCACGAGAAUGAUUGGUUAUACCCAAAGAAUGAGUUCUCUUUUAUAUUGAUGAUAUUUUCACCCUUACCGCGGAGGUAUAGACCUUCCUUCUAUGCAUGGGGACCCUCCUUCUAUGCAUUAGGGAUGUCGACCGAAGCGAAGACGGAGUGAAUUAAUGGGCAACGUGCUUGCGCUCGCUUAGACUAAACCCCGUAUCGGGGGGAUCGACUUUGAUUCAACAACCGUAAGAAGGAAGUACCAGGCGCCUACACACUCCUAACUGACCUCCCUAAACCCUAACCAAUAGCAAUAAGUACGAGUAUCCACGAUGAUGAUUCUAUUUAUCUCUAUUCUCUUUCCCUUCCCCGACCGAACCGAACUCAACUCGAGCAGUGGAAUCAAACUAAGAAGUCAGAAUGACAGCGCCAAUCCGAAGAGCCCGCGCAUGCUACACUGGCACCGAACCUUGCCUUGCUCGCGAUCAUCUCUCGUAGUCCUUCCGGCUCUAAUCUUUUCUUCUUCUGUUCUCAAGUAAUCUGUGUUUGUUGGUGCUAAGGUAAGGUAGCAAGCUUAAGGCUAAGGCUCUGCGCCCGAGAGUGAAAUCCCUGUUUCCAAUUCUGAGUUAUAAUAAGUUAUGUUUCUGAGACUCAAACAAGAGGCAACAAGGCUUGGGCAUCAAGUCAACAAGGGUCGAUGUCAUUUAGCUCGAACAUAAGAGUGAAACCAAGGAGUUAUCGAAUGGAAGGGGCGAGUAGAAGACUACAACCUAUAAGCAAGAAUGGAAGAGAGGCAAGUCAAAGCCUAAAACAAUAGGGCAAUAGGGAUUCCGGAGUGGCAGUUUGAAGCUACAAAAGCGGAAUUCCAGGCAUAUAGGUGAGUUUGUAAAUGACAAAUGGAGAACUAGGUUUGGCCAAGAGAAGAUAUAGUGAGUUUUGAAGCAAGGUGCUGAGAGCCUAAGAGACAGUAGAGCAAGGUUCCAAUCGAGGAAGGCUACAGCCAGUGAGUUAACUUAAUGUAUUUUCAGUCUCCAUUAUGUGUUUUAUUUUCCUCGGUAUGGGUUCCGCUUCUUAUUGGCAUCAGUCCCAUUCUUAUUGGUAUUGAUUGAUUUCUUUACCCAAGCUGGAGACAUCAUUGGGUUAACUGUAACUAAAGCAAGGUUGGUUCCCAGCAGCUACAGAAUGACAGUACUGAAGAGCGGGCUAGCGAUCAAUCCUAGUAGUUUUCGUUAGAAAAGUCAGAGAUAUAGACUUCAAGUCAAAGUAGUAGGGCAGCUAGGCUCUUAUAGAGAGUAGUUGAAGAACGAAAGGAAAGGCAUUAGCCCAAUUCUGAUAUUGUGAAGAGAGGACGACUUACUUCUUAGCUCGUAUCUGGUGUAAGGGCCCUACUUCUUAGUUUGACUCAGCUGUUGAAAUUCCAUUAUUAGUACCGUGGGACUUAUAUGCUGCUUCAUUCUAAUCUCGUAUGGGGGUUCCCCGUUUCUAGUUGACUUCUGAGAUUCCUAGUUGUUAGUUCCAUCCUUAUCAAUCCUUAUCAAUGGUAGUGAGAUUCUUUCAAGUAGUGAGAGCAACACUGCCGACAAGGUUGCAACCCGGGCUACCAAUACUAGUUAUAAUUACUUCUAUCCAAAUCCCCAAUGCUACUCAUCCUUACACUAGGAACCAAGAAGCCGACUACUACUUCUAAUAAGAUAUUACGAGAACUCAGGCUUACCAUCUGAACUCGAAAACUCACUCCCCUCGACCUCAAACCUUGCUUGUCAGUUGCUCGGGUAUAAACUCCUUCCUGGAAUCCUUUCUUAUCGGGGGUUAUUGCGUGACUCACACACAUAUCCUAUAUUGACUAUGGAGUAGCUGUAUGCACUUAAGGGAAUGGAACUUAUCACCGGAGAGAACCAACCCCGAAAUAGAGAGUACAAACACUACUUACAGGGCUAACUAUCCAUACCUUUAUUCGCCAAGUAACGUAUAGACAAGCAACGUAUAAGCCCAGAUUCGAAUGAGAACAUAGGGCAACUACUCUAACAGUCCAUACUUUUCUUCUUUAUUUAGUGAACCCUAGGCAAUAGCACAGAAUGAGUUGUUCCACUUGAGGACCAAGAGAACCCACCUUGCACACCAUACAAGGUGUUACUAAAAGAAUGAGUUGCUGAUCGCCCAUAGAAUUCUUUAUGCUACCAAAAAGGAAUGAGUUAACCUACUCGACAAUAUAGAAAGAAUCACUUAUAUCCUCGACAAUAUAGAAAGAAUUAUUUAGAUCACUUUCAGAAUGUGCUUAACUACCUUAAGACCAAGUAAAGUUGUCCUACAAUGAUGCUUUUAUUGGUAUUGUUGUUCGUGCACCCACGAUGACUCUGACCCUAGUAGAUGGAUAAGUUAAUUAAUUCACGUAUUAGAAUAUAGUGUAUCGUCCGAGGCUAGCGCAUCUAGUAAUAGGAAAAGAGUCAACCAAUGCUUCUAAGGCAACAACAGAGGAAUAGGGCUCAGCUAACUUACUAAUACUGUUAUUUAUCCUCUACCUAUGGCUAAAAAGACUGUUAUGGCUCUGGACCACUACUAGUUGUAGCUGUAUAAGAAUUAGGAUAAGCAGGAGCGGGAUGACUCUCAUUUCCACUCAUAAACUUGCCAACGAAUUCAUUUAUUCCUUACAUCAUAUGGGUUCCGAGUCGCCAAGUCCAGUGGUUUCUUCAUGCGGUGCUUGUGUUGGCAAAGACUAAUAUGAAGUAGACCUAGCCUCAAAGCCAGUACUUUAUGAUUGAUUAGAAGCCGGGGCAGGUACCCGAACUAACUCUAUCUUGCAGACCAGACCUAUACAUUCCCUCCCGCUACUGCUUGGGCCUCUUAUUCAAGAGUGAACUUUGGUCAAGAACCUCUAUUUACCAACUCGGGAAAGCCUUUCAUUAGGCUCACAAACACAAUUCAUUAGCUGCUUUGAGUGAAGAAUCAUCAAGUAUUGUUCCAGUCCAGAAGAAGCAAGGGCUGUGUAGGUUCUUUACCUUAGUUGAAGAGCUGGACUUUAAACCAUUGCUUAUCAGGGGACUUUCAACAAAUAAGAUGCUAGGCGUCAAUGAACUAGAACAGCUUUCGGGUACCUCAAUUUAGGAUGGAUUUAUUUGAUUAGUUUACCCUGCCCUGUCUUUAACGAUUAAUCAGCCUAUUCUUCAGCCACAACACCGACCCAACUUAUUCAUAAUAAUACUUCCAACUUAUUCAUAAUAAUACUAGAAAUCUAUACUAGGUUUAGGUGCUUGCUCGAAAGAAGGAAAUGAAUGAUCAAAAAACAGAAUAGAAUGUAGGCGCAGGAUCAGAGGCGUCAGUGAGCGGACCCACUUAUCUUACUUAAUGCAAAUAACAAUACAUCAUGAUUUAGGUACCUAUUGCGGAGUCAGCAUCAGCGGGUAAGGCUUAAGAAUCAGGCGCACUAGAUCAAUCCUUUUCUGAUUGCCUACUUUCAUCAGCAGAGUCCACUGAUAGAGCAUUAGAGUCCACUGAUAGAGCAGAGCCCAUAGUUAUAGGUGGAGCAGAGCCGGUACAGGAUUAAGCCCUUU
rnacentral:lncRNA from 1 species